rnacentral:rRNA from 1 species
UGAUAUGCUUGUCUUAAAGAUUAAGCCAUGCAUGCCUCAGUACAAACUGUUGUAGAGUGAAACCGCGAAUGGCUCAUUAAAUCGGUUAUGGUUCCUUGGACCUAAAAUUUUACUUGGAUAACUGUGGUAAUUCUAGAGCUAAUACAUGCAUUUCAGUCGUGACCCGAAAGGGAAAGGACGCUUUUAUUAGAUCAAAACCAAUCGGCCGGCUCGCCCGGUCGUUCCGUUUUGGUGACUCUGGAUAACCUUGGGCUGAUCGCACGGUCUCCGCACCGGCGACGUGUCCUUCAAAUGUCUGCCUUAUCAACUGACGAUGGUAGGUUUUGCGCCUACCAUGGUUGUAACGGGUGACGGGGAAUCAGGGUUCGAUUCCGGAGAGGGAGCCUGAGAAACGGCUACCACAUCCAAGGAAGGCAGCAGGCGCGCAAAUUACCCACUCCCGGCACGGGGAGGUAGUGACGAAAAAUAACGAUACGGGACUCAUCCGAGGCCCCGUAAUCGGAAUGAGAACAUUUUAAAUCUCUUAACGAUUACCCAUUAGAGGGCCAGUCUG